GUUUUAAUAGUUUAAUAAAAACAUUGGUCUUGUAAACCAAAAAUAAGGAUAAUCCUUUUAAAAUU
rnacentral:tRNA from 1 species